CUACAAUACAAGAGCUGGUAAUAACGUGCACAUGCUAUAUCUGCAAAAAUGAAAAUCUUCAAUCUGUUCUUGAUUAUGUGCGUGGUGCUGAGCUCCGCUUUCGAUGUAUAUAAAAUGCCACAUCACAUAAUAUAAUGAGCACUUAGUUCAUCCAAACGAAACGUGAAACAUACAAGCGACAAUGAAAGCCUUCAAUUUACUUCUACUGCUUUGCUUGCUGUACUGCAUUGCGGUCGCUCCAAGCUACGCUCAAAACGAUGACGAAAAGGAUAUAGGUGAUAGUAUAGUAUUGGACGUCGAUGCAUUAAAUUGAGUCCUUUGAGAAAUAAACAAUUACAUUCUUACGAAUA